rnacentral:rRNA from 1 species
ACAUGUAUGAAAGACAAGCUGAAAGACUUUUCUCAAUGAUGUAAGUGGUGGUGCAUGGUCGUUCUUAGUUCGUGGAGUGGUUUGUCUGGUCUAUUCCGAUAACGAGCGAGACCCCGGCGUUCCUAAUAGGGGCAGCAGCCCGGCUUGCCUGGCCCUCACGGGCUGGGCUCGCUAGCAGCUGCCUCAAACUAUGCUUCUUAGACGUAUCAGAGCCGAUAAGGUUCUUGAAAUGGGUUAAUAACAGGUCAGUCAUGCCCUUAGAUGUUCUGGGCCGCACGCGCGUUACAAUGGCAUGCUUAGAGAGUGCUCAAAAGGGCGUAUCCGCGGCCUAACGGCCGCGGUAACCCCUAGUCCCUGCCUUGACUGGGACAGACUAUUGCAAUUAUUGGUCUCGAACGAGGAAUUUUUAGUAGUCGCAGGUCAUUAACCUGCGACGA